rnacentral:rRNA from 1 species
GACAGAGGGUGCGAGCGUUGUUCGGAAUUACUGGGCGUAAAGCGCGCGCAGGCGGAUCCUGCAAGUCGGAAGUGAAAUGUGGCUGCUCAACGGCCACGCUGCUUCCGAUACUGCGGAUCUGGGGACCGGUAGAGGCUGGUGGAAUUGCAGGUGUAGCGGUGAAAUGCGUAGAUAGUCUGGAGGAACACCGGUGGCGAAGGCGGCAUCCUGGACCGAGAUUGACGCUGAUGCGCGAAAGCCAGGGGAGCAACGGG